AACGAACGCUGGCGGCGCGCUUAACACAUGCAAGUCGAACGAGAAGGCGUAGCAAUACGCUUGUAAAGUGGCGAACGGGUGAGGAAUACAUGGGUAACCUACCCUCGAGUGGGGGAUAACCCGCCGAAAGGCGGGCUAAUACCGCGUACGCUUCCGAUCUCGCGGGAUCGGAAGGAAAGCUGUCCCAAGGGGAUGGCGCUCAAGGAUGGGCUCAUGUCCUAUCAGCUUGUUGGUAGGUAACGGCCACCAAGGCAUCGACGGGUAGCUGGUCUGAGAGGACGAUCAGCCACACUGGCACUGCGACACGGGCCAGACUCCUACGGGAGGCAGC
rnacentral:rRNA from 1 species